GCUUCGAUAGCUCAGCCUGGUAGAGCGUUACAUUGGUAAUGUAAAGGUCGCGGGUUCAGAUCCCGUUCGAAGCUUGU
rnacentral:tRNA from 1 species